UACAGAGGGGGCAAGCGUUAUUCGGAAUUAUUGGGCGUAAAGGGCGCGUAGGCGGCUUUGCAAGUGACGGGUGAAAUCCCUCGGCUUAACCGAGGAACUGCCUGUCAGACUGCAUGGCUUGAGACCAGGAGAGGUGAGUGGAAUUCCCAGUGUAGCGGUGAAAUGCGUAGAUAUUGGGAGGAACACCGGUGGCGAAGGCGGCAUCCUGGACCAACACUGACACUGAGGAGCGAAAGCCAGGGGAGCAAACGGG
rnacentral:rRNA from 1 species